rnacentral:lncRNA from 1 species
UUAGUACUAAUUCUUAAACAUUCAAACACUUGUGUCCACACCUUCACCCACAGGCAUUAAAGAUAUGGCUUUAUCGGCUUUUAUUUUGGCUGUUUGUUUAGCAAUUCUUGUUGUUACUAGUGCUGCUGCUAAUGAGGGUAUGCCGGAUAACAUGCCUGGCAUGACCCCUGCCCCUGCCCCGAAAGCUUCUGGAAGCACCCUCGCUUCUUUUCCAUCGGCAUAUUUAGCCAAGGUCCUUGCUUCAGUUGUUUCAUUUAUGAUUUUUAAGUGAAGGGCUUAAGUUUUCUUCUCUUUGUAUGUGUUGGUACAUCUUGUUCUGCUUUUGGGGUGGGUCUUUCAUAGGCUGUGUGUUUUUUGGUUCAUUUUUCUCUCCCUAUAUGCUGGUUCAUUUAUAUGUGUUAUGUUAACGUCAAGAUCUUUCUCCACGUCCCAAUCACGAAAGACGUCCUGAUCCUGCACAGUAAAUACGACAAACACCACAAGCUUGACGGCCGGACCGCCGGGGGAUAGCUCAGGCGUAAGAGUAAGUAUAUGUGUUCACAAGGUUAACUCAAGAGGAUGAUAAAAUCUAGUGUAAUGAGAGAGAUAAUAAUUCUUAGUUGUGUGUCUGUGUAUAUAUCAAAAACAUACCUCCUUGUGAAGACUUACUCGUUAGGAUAUAAUAUCUUUGUCUGGAUUACUGUGUCACCCACUACCAUCUGACAUAUCCCCCUGAUCUGAUGGGUUCUGCCGACUGCAUGGAGUCUAUCCACUGCUUUUGGCCACUGUUUUCUACCGCCGGCCGGCUAUAAUCUCAUCCACAUUAAUGCAUGGCAUAUAUCUCGGUCAACUGUCAUGCUAUAUCAUCAUUACAAGUCAAAGUAAUAGAUAUUAAAU